rnacentral:rRNA from 1 species
AAUGAAGCCAGAAUUGCAGCUUGGAAUGAUGCCGAUAUCAAUAAUAUUCCGAUAUAUGAACCGGGACUGAAUGAAAUUGUGGGGAAGGCCAGAGGUAAGAAUCUUUUUUUCUCAACCAAUGUUGAUAAAGCUAUUGAUGAAGCGGAGUUAAUUUUUAUUUCCGUGAAUACACCAACCAAAACAUAUGGUACCGGAAAAGGAAUGGCAGCCGAUUUAAAACAUAUAGAAUUGUGUGCCCGUCAAAUUGCUAAAGUGGCUAAAAACGAUAAAAUCAUUGUAGAAAAAUCAACCUUGCCGGUGCGUACAGCCGAAGCAUUAAAAAGUAUUUUAGACAAUACGGGAAAUGGAGUUAAAUUUCAAAUUCUUUCUAAUCCUGAAUUCUUGGCCGAAGGUACUGCAGUACAAGAUUUGUUAAGUCCGGACCGCGUUUUAAUAGGAGGCUAAAUACUCCUGAGAGACCGAUAGUGCACUAGUACCGUGAGGGAAAGGUGAAAAGAACCCUGAAUAAGGGAGUGAAAAAGAUCCUGAAACCGUGUGUCUACAAGCGGUCGAAGCCUACGGGCGACGGCGUGCCUUUUGCAUAAUGAUCCUACGAGUUACUCCUCAUUGGCAAGGUUAAGGUUUUAAGAACCGGAGCCGAAGCGAAAGCGAGUCUUAAUAGGGCGCGAUAGUCAGUGGGGGUAGACGCGAAACCUUGUGAUCUACCCAUGGGCAGGUUGAAGUUCCGGUAACACGGAAUGGAGGACCGAACCGAUAAGCGUUGAAAAGCUUCCGGAUGACCUGUGGGUAGGGGUGAAAGGCCAAUCAAACUGGGAAAUAGCUCGUACUCCCCGAAAUGCAUUUAGGUGCAGCGUUGAGGUUGAGUUUUAUAGAGGUAGAGCUACUGAUUGGACUAGGGGGCUUCACCGCCUACCAAAUCCUGACAAACUCCGAAUGCUAUAAAAUAUACUCAGCAGUGAGGGCAUGGGUGCUAAGGUCCAUGUCCGAGAGGGAAAGAACCCAGACCAUCAGCUAAGGUCCCCAAAUGUAUGCUAAGUUGAAUAAACGUUGUGCGGUUGCAUAGACAGCUAGGAUGUUGGCUUGGAAGCAGCCAUUCAUUUAAAGAGUGCGUAACAGCUCACUAGUCGAGCGAUCGUGCGUGGAUAAUAAACGGGCAUUAAGUGUAUUACCGAAGCUAUGGAUUUCAGCUUAUGCUGAUCUGGUAGGGGAGCAUUCUAUUCAGCGUUGAAGGUGCAUGGUGAUGUGUGCUGGAGCGGAUAGAAAAGCAAAUGUAGGAAUAAGUAACGAUAAUGCAGGCGAGAAACCUGCACACCGAUAGACUAAGGUUUCCUGAGCGACGCUAAUCGGCUCAGGGUUAGUCGGGACCUAACGCGAACCCGAAGGGGGUAGUGGAUGGAUAACUGGUUAAUAUUCCAGUACUUGUUAUAACUGCGAUGGGGUGACGGAUUGAUGAAAGUACCGCGCACUGACGGAAUAGUGCGUUAAAGGAUGUAGGUAUAAGGACUGUAGGCAAAUCCGCAGACCUUGCCGAAUCUGAUAGUACCGAGAGGCUUCGGCCAAUUGGAUAGUGUACCUAAGGGAUUCCAAGAAAAACCUCUAAGCUUCAGGUUAUAACAACUCGUACCGCAAACCGACACAGGUAGUCAAGGAGAGAAUCCUGAGGUGCUCGAGUGAUUCAUGGCUAAGGAACUAGGCAAAAUGGUCUCGUAACUUCGGGAGAAGAGACGCCAGCGCAAGCUGGCCGCAGUGAAUAGGCCCAGGCGACUGUUUAUCAAAAACACAUGGCUUUGCAAAAUCGAAAGAUGAAGUAUAAGGCCUGACACCUGCCCGGUGCUGGAAGGUUAAGAGGAGAGCUUAGCUUCGGCGAAGGUUUGAAUUGAAGCCCCAGUAAACGGCGGCCGUAACUAUAACGGUCCUAAGGUAGCGAAAUUCCUUGUCGGGUAAGUUCCGA